CUGGAGGCGGUGACGUGACUCACCGCAGUGCAGAAGGGCAGGCUCUGCUGAGACCCACAGAGCGGGCUUCAGAGAAAUGGGUGGAAACAUUACAAGUUUGUUACAGCAGCAAUGAAAACAAAUGGCAAUAUCAUCCAGACACAAGACCCCUUAGUCACAAGGCUGACUACACCCCCAGGAGUCAGAGAAGCCGAAGAAGGACCCAGAGGGAGGUGGAGCAGUUGCAGGCCGAGCUGCUGCUUUCCGUCAAGCUCAGUAUGAGAAGAUGGACAGAACCAUAGGAUGAAAAGAACCUGCAUCAGAGGAAAACAUCACCUAGGGGAAAGCUGCCCGCAGGGUUGCGGGUGAGGGUGAGUGAGCACUGACCUUCUCUGUGUCUCACGCCUGAGAUUUGGGCUGCAUCAGUCACGGUGAUAAUGCACAACCUGGCCCUGGCUCCCCUGCUCACAGAACUCCACAGUGUCAAUGCAGAAACUUUUGCCACAGCUGCCACUGGUGUCUGGGAGAAUCAGCACUUGGGAGCCCUCACUGUCCCCCAGCUGGGAACUCACCCACCAGGGAAGCACCCCCAGCGCCGCCUCUCCCCAGUUCUUAAGCCCAUGACCUGCCCCAUGAGCUGAGCUGAUGGCUGCAAGAGCUUCUCAUUACCCAUCCCAUUUCACAGUUUAGUGGUGGUAGGUGGGCGGGGAAGAGCAUAAGAACAUUUCUGAGCAUAUGCCAUGUAUCAGAAUACUCUGCUGUGUGUUCCUUUAUCUCAUCUUAAACAUCACAAACACCCACGAAGUAGGUGCUGUUGUCUCCACUCUGCAUAAGUGGACUCUGAACACACACAAGGUUACCAGCUGGUGGUGGCAGAAUCUACAUGCAGACUGACUCUUCGGACUACAAACCCCCGGCAGUGCCCUUCCCGGGAGCCCUACUGCACUGACACACACCCAUUCCACUUCCCUGUCUCGGGGGCUCCCUUGGGGCCAGUGCCGCUGGCUGGGAAGGGCAGCGUGGGAGCCUCUGUGUGGAAGCCAAGUCAUUUCACAGAGAGCAGAGUGGGUGGAGGAUGUGUUACUGGCCUCCUCAUUUAAAACUUGGAACAUGGUUUUCCAUGGAAAAAAAUUAUGCAGAGGCGUUCCGUUUUGUAAAUGUACGCAAUGCAAAUGCACUUUGCAAAUCACCAAGAAGUAUAUAAUAUGCCUAUAAGGAAUUCCUACUCCACAGUACAUUAGCGCUAUCAUUCCAACACUUUGUGGAUUAAAUAGCCUUUUGUGAAGUAGUUGGAGAAUUUAACCACUGACUGUUACAUUGUCUCUAAGGAAAAAUACAUUCCAAUAGCCAAACAAACCGACUUACAACAGACAUUUGGAACCUAACCCAUUCACAAACUGAGAACUGCCUGGAUUAACAUGAAGAGGACACAUCAUCACCAUCUUCAUCAAGUAUUAUUUAUUAAGAAUAGUGCAAAGGGUGAAGGCUUUAGGGUAAAGAGAAAAAAGAAGGAAGUGUUAAUCUAAUUUUAAUGGCUACAGUUUCACAUCCCUGGUUGUGAAUGAACUCACACUGUUCCAAAACAACCUUUUAUCUUUCUCUUUACUUCCUUCCGCUCAUUUUGUA